UGUGACUAAAGAAUUACAAGAUAAUUAAGUUAUAAAUAAUAUAACUAUAGAAACAAAAGUAUAAUUAAAUUUUUUGAUAAUUAUAUAAGAUAUUUUACUGUAAUUAUAAUUUACUUAAUGUUGUCAUUAUAAUUAUUAAUUUAAAUAUUAUGGACUUAUUGAGCCUAUCAUUAAACGAGUGUUAGAUAAUAAGUAACUAAAUUAUUUUUUUAGUAAUUUGGAUAAUUAAGCUUGAUGAGUUAAGCUUGAUCUCGCGAAUUUGAUAAAUGAGGUAAAUGCGAUCUGAGGUUGAGCUGUGUUUGAAUCUAAUACAAUCUAAUCGAGCUGAACUCAUUUUUCAAAUAUGCACUCGAGUUCAAUGAAAAUCUAUCAAGGCAAGCCUAAACUCUUAAAAUUUUGGUUCGUUAACACCUAUAAGAUAGUCUGAUUAUGAGUUAAGUAAGACAUAGGGUUUUGUUUCUCUCUUUAAUUCUGGAAAUCUUCAAAUUUUCUGUUUUUGGUGUCUUUCAAUCGAUUUGCUGUGCACACUGGGAUGGGAAAUAAUUCUCAAUUUUUUUGUUAAUUCUCUAAAUCAGUUGUCAAAUCAUAAAAAAGUAUCUAAUAAUAAAAUUCCUAAAAGACAUAUUUAUAGUAAAAUUGUUAAUCCCAUUAUUACUAUGAUUAAGAAUCCCAAAAUAAGAAA
rnacentral:misc_RNA from 1 species